GACUGUUUGGGGAGAAAUUGGAGCCAAGCAUAUCUGGCCGUGAUGUAGACCAUGAUCAUAGUUGACCCAGAGGGAUGCGUUAUGACGUUACAGAGUAGAAGCCACAAGAUUGGGAUGAGAGACGGUGUGGUCACCAAGGACAGCACCAAAGGAAGACUUAUGAACGACCGAGUGAGGACAGUAGAUACAUCUGCCACCAUUCUGACAGAAGCCGUGUUCACAAGUAAAGCAUUUUUCAGACCGUUUUCCGUGAAUCGUGCCCAGUAUAUCGGCCCCUCACCCAAUGCGUGAAAACCACUGGUGAUUGAGUCUGGUAGAGCGCCGUGACAUCUCUCGUAAACAAGCUGGGUUAUGGACACGGAUCACGUCAACUAAGAGUUGCAAGUUCAAAUGUCUUUGUCUUCGAAGAACUAUCCUUUUCCUUUGGAUCAGCUGAACACGAUAGGGCCCCUCCAUUCUGAAUGGAAAAGACGUCUAUCAUCUAUGCUUUGGUUCACCAGUUACAUCCUCAGAUGAUUCAGUCCAUGCAGGACAUUGUAAACAUGGAGAAUAUCAAGAAGAACUGAGUGGUGCCGAAAAUACCUGAAGAUUUACUUUUUCAGCCAAGAAUGACAUUGUAGGCCUAAAGGUUUAGAAAUUAUACCUAAAUUCCUCAGGAUUAUGGCGUACUCCUAUUGGAUAGCCUGGAAACCAUUUAUCCUGGGU